UCUGAGAGGGAGUGUAUUCUCGGGAGCCAGGAUGUAUGGCUGCCAUGUGUCAUAUGAAUCUGAAGUCAGGGCCUCGGGCAGCCUGAAUUCUCCAAAAGGACUGGCACAUUUCUUAAGGGUUACUUUGCCUUCCUGGUCACAGCAGCUGUAAGAUGCAAUAGGAAUGACUGCAGUAUGCCAAAUAGCCCCAAAUGCCACAGCCUCGGCCUCCUGAGCUCCCCAGAAAAUGCCCGGGAGAUCCAUUCGUGAAGUCAACUCUGAGACAGGUGAAGUCCCAGAGCUGGUGGUGAUGCUGCCUGGAUCCCAGGUGGGACCAAUGCAACCAGCUGGUCUUCUGAGCGGCCCCAGGAAGGCCCAUUGCAGGAGGGUAAACCUGAGUGCCUGUUCUCAUGGAGACUGCCUUCCCAGUCUAUUCUCCAAGGACCUGAAAACCCAGACCCCAGAGGAACAUUCUGCAUUGCCAAAUCCAUUAUGCCCCGGUGUUUGCUGACUGCACAAACACACCUUGGUGGAAAUAUGCAAAACCUCACAACAUAAGGACCAUAUGGGAGCUCAGGGAAUUUACAGCUCCCUGGAUUUUAUCACUGUACUUAUUCUUUAAUUAAAGACAAUAACUACUCCUUACAGGUUCUUAUUGACAAAUAAAAACACGGAUGUCGCUCAA